GACGAACGCUGGCGGCGUGCUUAACACAUGCAAGUCGAACGGAAAGGCCCCUUUGGGGGUACUCGAGUGGCGCACGGGUGAGUAACACGUGAGUAACCUGCCCUUGACUUCGGGAUAACUUCAGGAAACUGGGGCUAAUACCGGAUAGGAAUCCUUGCUGCAUGGUGGGGGUUGGAAAGCUUCGGCGGUUUUGGAUGGACUCGCGGCUUAUCAGCUUGUUGGUGGGGUAGUGGCUUACCAAGGCUUUGACGGGUAGCCGGCCUGAGAGGGCGACCGGCCACAUUGGGACUGAGAUACGGCCCAGACUCCUACGGGAGGCAGCAGGGGGGAAUAUUGCACAAUGGGCGGAAGCCUGAUGCAGCAACGCCGCGGGCGGGAUGACGGCCUUCGGGUUGUAAACCGCUUUCAGCAGGGGCGAAGCUUGUGGUGACGGUACCUGCAGAAGAAGCACCGGCUAACUACGUG
rnacentral:rRNA from 1 species